AUUGAACGCUGGCGGCAUGCCUUACACAUGCAAGUCGAACGGCAGCACGGGAGCAAUCCUGGUGGCGAGUGGCGAACGGGUGAGUAAUAUAUCGGAACGUGCCCAGUCGUGGGGAUAACGUAGCGAAAGCUACGCUAAUACCGCAUACGAUCUAUGGAUGAAAGCGGGGGAUCGCAAGACCUCGCGCGAUUGGAGCGGCCGAUAUCAGAUUAGGUAGUUGGUGAGGUAAAGGCCCACCAAGCCGACGAUCUGUAGCUGGUCUGAGAGGACGACCAGCCACACUGGGACUGAGACACGGCCCAGACUCCCUACGGGAGGCAGCAGUGGGGAAUUUUGGACAAUGGGCGCAAGCCUGAUCCAGCAAUGCCACGUGCAGGAUGAAGG
rnacentral:rRNA from 1 species